rnacentral:rRNA from 1 species
AUACCUCGGAGAGUUUGAUCCUGGCUCAGGACGAACGCUGGCGGCGUGCCUAAUACAUGCAAGUCGAGCGGACAGAAGGGAGCUUGCUCCCGGAUGUUAGCGGCGGACGGGUGAGUAACACGUGGGUAACCUGCCUGUAAGACUGGGAUAACUC